AGUAUUUGAUUUUCCGUUUUUUUUUAUUAAUUGGUAUUGUUAAUCUAACUAUUCUUAACAAAAUCACUCGCAGAAAUACAAAAAACAUCAAAACCAAACGAUAACUUAACGGUACCACGUUGAAAACGAGUGAACGCGUGCGUCAUAGCUAUGCGUUGCUGUAUUACAUUCAAUUUGCUUUGGACAGUUCAGAUCGUGUGGACUUAGUGCUUGUUGCAGUUAUUGCACUGUGGAGGUAGACCACCGAAAAAUUUUAAAGCAGCACAUAAAAAAAGGCGAUUCAGACGAGGUGGAUGCAUAGCAACAUAUGUAUGUAUAAUACUGUUUGCAGCGUAAUCAAGGAAAGAAAAUAAAUAUUGUACUUCUCGAUUUAACUCAAGCAGAAAAUGUGUGUGUUUGUGGCGUUGGAGCAAGCGCGGACAAGCGAAAUGCUAAUAUAAUGCAAGUAAAAAACACUCGAAUAAAAUAUUGAUUUUCAGAUAAUAUUGAAACAAUUUUGUAAACCUUUUAAAAAAGCCCACCUUACGUUGGGGCAGAUAUUUGGCAACUGCAUGAAAUAAUUAUAUACAACGUACAUAUGUAUAUGCGCUUAUAAAUAAAUC